rnacentral:lncRNA from 1 species
ACCGGAUUUGAUGAUUUUUGAUGUACAAGCAGUUUUGAGGUAGUAUAUCAUAUUCAAAGGCUUGGAUCAUCAAUGUAGGACCUCCAUUGUCCGAUUUUGAUCUGACUGGAUUUGAGCCCAAAUUCGAUCGACCUAUUAGCACCUCUAUGAAAUUUUGAAAAUCCUAUUAUUGUAUGAUUGGAAUUUUAUGGAAUCGAAAAAAACUCAGCAACGAUCCCUUUCUUAAAAUUUCUAUAUUGAUUUUAUAGAACCACCCC